rnacentral:rRNA from 1 species
UACGUAGGGCGCAAGCGUUGUCCGGAAUUAUUGGGCGUAAAGAGCUCGUAGGCGGCCAGUUGCGUCUGCUGUGAAAUCCCGGGGCUCAACCCCGGGCGUGCAGUGGAUACGGGCUGGCUAGAGGCAGGCAGGGGAGAACGGAAUUCCCGGUGUAGCGGUGAAAUGCGCAGAUAUCGGGAGGAACACCGGUGGCGAAGGCGGUUCUCUGGGCCAUCACUGACGCUGAGGAGCGAAAGCGUGGGGAGCGAACAGG